AUGAACACAUUUUUAUUGUGCGCCAAAGUCCAUGUAUUUGGCAAAACUGGAAAUUUUACUCAUUCCUAUUGUGUUUUUCUUUCUCCCAGUAGGAAGCUGGAUGGGACUGAAUCUGGGCAGAAUGGCUAUCGCACUUGCGUUGAAGUUACCCAUCAAAGCAGCACCAGAAGAAUCAACAGCCAUCUCCAAAAGUUUCCAGGGCAGCUUUCAGGCAUUUUCUUGCACCAAGGGCAUUGUCUCAGCAGCCUCAACCACCAGACAGGAUGGCCCAGGGCUGCUUGUUCCUUGACCUGCUGGGACCAACUGUGACUCAUCCAUUUACUGCAGAGCAAAGGUAACUUGGGAUGUACCAGUUGACAGCUGCCUCCCAGGAGACAAUCAGUACUGGAAAUGAGGGCACUGGGCUUUAACUGGAAAUGUUUCUGCUGGCACAGACUCAGGCUGGAUGAGGCAGGGACAUGAGAGAUGGCAUGCAUGUAUUUUAAAGAACUGGGGGCUGGGCACAGUGGCUCACACCUAUAAUCCCCACACUUUGGGAGGUCGAGGCAGGCAGAUCACCUGAGGUCGGAGGCUUGAGACCAGCCUGACCAACAUGGAAAAACCCCAUCUCUACUAAAAAUACAAAAUAAACUGGGUAUGGCGGUACAUGCCUGUAAUCCUAGCUACUCGGGAGGCUGAGGCAGGAGAAUUGCUUGAACCCUGGAGUCGGAGGUUGUGGUGAACAGAGAUCACGCCAUUGCACUCCAGCCUGGGCAACAAGAACAAAACUCCAUCUCAAAAAAGUAAAAUAAAGAAAAAACUGGGGUCCUCACAGCUGACUGGCUGUUUCAAGUCACUCUUGUUAUCUCACUGAGCCACUUGGAGGCUAGUGAUGUCACUUAUAUGUGCUCUGUAAUUUAGUUUGGAGAUUUCAGCCCCAUAACCAUACUUCCUUUCUUGGCAGAAGGAAGAUUAGGAGCAGCAAUAAUAUCAUAGUAAUAUUGGUAUCAUUUAUUAAUGGUAUAGUCUAUUCUGAAAGCAGUAGGUCACUGAGGUUAUAUAUAUUGUCUGUAAUCCAGUGGUCACAGCCUAGGGUGCAAUUAGGAAUCACUCAGGAAGCUUCAAAAUACCGAUGCCUGGGUCUACUCUCCAAAGACUGAUUGGGUAGAGCCAAGGUAUCGGCAUUUUAAGGCCCCCCAUGGAAUUCUAAUGUGCAUCCGAGAUUGAGAAGCACAGCUUUCAUCAUCACAGCAACCUGCAAGGUAGGGGCUUUUAGCUUCAUUGUAUAGAUAAAGAAAGCAGGGCCCAGAGGGACGACAAACAACUCGUGCAAGUACAAGAUCAGGGACUUCAACCUUGGG
rnacentral:lncRNA from 1 species